UCAUCACAUUACUCAUAAUAUACAUUUUUAUUUCUUACUCUUUUUAUUAUUCAGUCAAUUUCUUUGUCUUUUCCCAUCAUGAGCUUUGUUUCAAUUCUACCUGUUUCGCUAUUUCACUUCAUCUUCCCUAUAUAUAACAUGAAUUUCCCCCCAUUCUUUUUGAAAUGUUUCAUCUCCCUGAUUUGAAUUUUAGCUGUUAAUUUGGCUGUUUCUGCCUACUCCAACACCUUGUACUGCCACUAAAGAUCUUCUUUAAUUUAAUGUUUAAUUUAAUUAAUUUAAAUUAAUGUUUAAUUUAAUUUAAAUGUUUUCCCGAUAGGUUUUCACUUUAUCCCAUGUCCGUCACAUGGGGAAGAAACUGCCUUCUUUCACCCACAUUUCCAACACUUAUUUCCUGUUUUAUACAUCUUUGUCAAUUUAGUUUAAUGAUCUGUACAUCAUUUUUAACUGAUUCUCUUUUAACAAUCUCCAUGCUGCCAAUUUUAGCCCAGAGUUCCAUAAUUUUAUCCACUUUUCGUACUCAAUAUUAUGGCCUAUUAUGCCCAUUUAAUCCUGACAUUUUGGAUUUCCUCCUCCUUUGUGUGCCAUUCUAAUAAUAAAAUAAUCAAUGAAAAUAAAAUAAUCAAUAAAUUAAUAAAAAUUUGUAAAUCUUAAGACAAUAUUUUUGGGUUAUUUUGUAUGACUGCAGUUUCUAAUAUUGAUUUGCUUUGUUCCAAACCUCUUGCUCUUUUGUCUUUUGAGAAGAUGUCGUUCAUUUGGUGAUAUUCCAUCCAACCUGAUAAUUUAUCUUUUAGCUUUUACCUUUUAAUAAAUAUUUUAAUUAAGCUUUUACCUUUUAAUUAAUCAAAUUUAUUUUUAUUUAUUUAUUUAUUUUAAUUUAUCUUUUACCUUUUAAUUUAUCUUUUCCUAAGGCUUGAUCUUAAUUACCGUAUUUUUCGCCCUAUUGGACGCACUCGGCCCAUAUGACGCACCUAGUUUUCAGGGGGGGAAAUCAAGGAAAAAAGUAUGAUUUCCCCCCCACAGCUCUGGGAGCAGCAGACAGGCUGCACGCAGCCUGUGCGCUACUCCAAGACCUUCUCCCUGCUUUUGCGGGAGGUGGAGGAAUUUCUCCACCUCCCGCAAAUGCGUGACUCCUACGGGCUUUUCGACCAGGAGGGAAAAGGGACUGAAAUGGCCAGGCAGUCCCUUCUCCCUCCUCAGGGAAAAGCCCCCAAGAGCGGCACGCUCUUCAAAGGGUGCGCGGCUCCUGCGGGCUUUUCUGGGAGGUGGGGAAUUCCCCCACCUCCCAUAAAGCUCCGCAGGAGGGAUGGCGAGUAGCGGGAAGGCCUUGCACGCCUUCCCGCUGCCCCCCAUCCUCUGGGGCUGGCCAUGGGGGAAGCGCUGCUUUCCCCCACCGCCAGCCUCAAAGAGCAGACUCUCCUGGCUUCAGCGGAAGCAACGCAAAGCCUCCGGAGCGCAGGCUUUGGAGGCUUCGCGUUGCUAUCGCUGAAGCCAAGGAGCCUGCAUUCGCCCCAUAAGACGCACACACAUUUCCCCUUCAUGGUUGGAGGGGUAAAAGUGGGUCUUAUAGGGCGAACAAUACGGUACAUUUUCUCUUCCUGCAACAUGUCUCUAGAAGCCUCUCUCACACAUUUCCCCUGUCUUUUUCUGGAAGAAAAUUUCAAAUUCUGUGCUUUUGGAUUCCUUUCCAGAAAGGCUCAAUUGUCUUGAAAGCUCCUCUAUCUGCCCUUUCAUUUUCUCUCCUCCUUUUUGAUUUUCCCUCAUUUCUUUCUGCAAUUUUUUAUUGUUCCUCUACUGUUUGCAUUUCUGCUUUCCAUUCCUUCAUUCUGUUGCAACUUCCGUUAUCUUUUCCUCAAUGUUUUUUCCACUUUCCUUUAACUCUCUCCAGCAAGAUGGGCGGGGCACAAAUAAUAAAUUAUUAUUAUUAUUAUUAUUAUUAUUAUUAUUAAUUAUUAUUAUCUCUGCCAAGAUUUUUGCAAAAUCUCCCUCCCC